UUUAAACCUUUUUUUUUUUUUUUUUCUCGAUAAAGAGCAGUGCCUCAGCAAAUUGUUUUGCUUUUUAAAAUGAACGUGAAGAAGAGUGCUGAAAAAAAACGAUAUUUAUCGAAUGAAAGAAACUGAGCAUUUUUGUCGACUUGUCAAAGCAAUUUCAGUGUAUCUCUGCUAGUCUGCAGCAUACUGAAGCAGACUGACUAAUGUCAGUCAAAAAUUUUAAAAUGUUUUUGAAAACUGCAAACCUUUAUCUGUGAAAAUAUGUAAAAGCUGCUGAUAGUGUAUUUGACGGGGAAGCAGCUGGAGUUUUUUUGUGGCUUUUAGCCCAUGGGUUGACAGCCUUUACUGUCAAAAGAAACAUUUUGCCCCCUUUCGUCUGUAAGAAAUACAGCUUGGAGCUGCAAAACAUAACUCUAAAUAACAUAUUAGUUGUAAAAUUUGAUUUGACUUUAGCUUCUACAACAGAUUUCAGGUGAAACUCAAAACAUGUUAAUAUUAUGCACGGGUUUGUUUAUUCCAGCAAUUCGAUCUACAAGACAAAACUAGUAAGACAUAUGUUCAUAACAUGUAACUCAAGGUAUUUCAGGACUUCUUUUGAUAUAAUUUCGAUUAUUAUAGCUUACACCUUAUGAAAAUCAACCAAAAUUGAAGUACCUCGCACUAAACAGCGUGUGGAAUUUUUAAAAUAGCGUCUACUACUAGUGGGCGUGUUGCGUGCGAUUUACUAAGACUGUGUGGAGGCAGCUGGAAGGAGAUACCCAAGAAGUCAACUCUUACAGGUAGCCCUUGCCAAAGGCCUAGCAUCUGACUGCCCCCUAGCCAGGGGUACGGUGAAGACCUCAACAGCUGAGGAGCAGGCGGAAGACGGUAGAUGUAAGAACUACCAUAACGCCUGUGGUGGCAGAAGAAAGCCCCCCCACAUCCAUCUGGGCCCAGUUAUGGGGAAAUAACAACCCAAGACCUCAACGGUGGAACAGGCGGAGGAUGACUGCUAACCCCAUGGAGCGUCACAAGGGCUGGGAUGGCGGAUGAAAGCUGCAGCAGAAAAGGAUCCCCAGUCGUCUUGGACUCCAUGCCGAUGGACCCUGACCCGGAUCUGUCAAAUAUUGUGUAAUGACUGUCUGUGCACCAGUCUCCCCAUGUUAAAAAAAAAGUCACGCACAGGCAUCCUCCAUAAAGGGAUACCCCCCUA